rnacentral:rRNA from 1 species
UUCUGACUGGUGGGAUGGCUUAUGCCUGCACCAUCGACCGACCAUGAUCUUCUGUGAAAGGUUUGAGUACGAGCAUACCUGUUGGGACCCGAAAGAUGGUGAACUAUGCCUGAGCAGGGCGAAGCCAGAGGAAACUCUGGUGGAGGCUCGUAGAUGUGCUGACGUGCAAAUCGCUUUUCGGACUUGGGUAUAGGGGCGAAAGACUACUAGUAGCUGGUUCCCUCCGAAGUUUCCCCCAGGAUAGCUGGAGCUUGAUCAGUUUUAUCGGGUAAAGCGAAUGAUUAGAGGUACCGGGGAUGAAACAUCCUCGACCUAUUCUCAAACUUUAAAUAGGUAAGACGUCUGGGUUGCUUAAUUGAACCCAGGCAUUCAAUGAGAGCUCCAAGUGGGCCAUUUUUGGUAAGCAGAACUGGCGAUGCGG